UUUCCGUAGGUGAACCUGCGGAAGGAUCAUUAUUGAAUAACCGAGGUGCGAGGGCUGUUGCUAACCCGAUAGGUCGUGUACGCUCGAGUGCCCUCACACACACAUAUCUCAAUCAUCUGUGUAUAACCGAGUGGAACCAACCUUGCCAUGUCCGGUGGCGGGCUUACCUUUUCAAACAAACAUUGAACGCAGCGUAGAAUGUAUCUUCUGUACUUGCGACAACGAAACCCAUAAAACUUUCAAUAACGGACCUUCUGGCUCUCGCAUCGAUGAUGAACG
rnacentral:misc_RNA from 1 species